rnacentral:pre_miRNA from 1 species
AAAUAAACCGCCCAGAAAUCUUGUUAAAAUGCAGAUUCUGAUUCAGUAGGUUGGCAAUGGGGCCUAAGAUUCUGCAUUUUCAACAAGCUCCCUGGUGAUAUGGAG